UAAACUAUACCAUAAUGAUUUUCUUAAUUUAGAUAUUUUAAAAAUAGAUGACAUAAUUAUAAGAAGUUUCUUUUUUUUAGUUUAUUACAUGUGUAUAAGUUUAGAUUUCAAUUUUAAUUUUUUGAAAUAAAACAAAAACAAUAAUUUGAAAUGUUAAUAUGUUCAUAUUAAAAAUUUAACAGUAAAUUUUAACAAAAAUUGAUUAUAGUUAUUAUAUUAAUUAAUAUGAACUACAACGCAGUAUCAUAUUUUAACAAAUAAUAUUUUACUUUGAGUAAAAUAAUCCUGGUAAGUUUAAUAUGCAUUUUAUUGGUUUAAAAUAUUUUUAUGAUAAUAUAUGUUUAUAUUUUAUCUAUGUUUUAAAUUUUCUAUACUCAAAUUAAAAUUUUCUAUAAAUAUAAAUUUAUAGUAAUUAAAGAUUAAAAAUAGAAUAGUUUUUAUAUGGCAUGUUUUGUAUUUGUUUUAGUUUUCUUAAUAAAUAAAAUAAAAAUGAGGUAAUAUAUCUCUUAACUUUGUCUCACACUUAUCAAAAUUUGGUUUUAUAAAAUUUCAAUAUUAAUGAGUUAAUGUGUUUGUUAAAAUCAUCUCGUAUUUGAUUAAUAUAGUAUUAUUGAUGAAAUAAUCCAUCAAAAAUUAUAAUUAUAAAAUAUCAACUGUAACUUAUUCCCCUCAUGUACUUUAAAUAAUAUGAACAUGAGUUAAUUUUAAAUAUUUUAUUUAUAUCAAGUAAAUAUAUAUCUUUCAGUUGAGUCAUUUUGUGCAUCUCCAACUUUUCCGAAUUAUCUAUCUUAUUUAUCUAAUUUUAAUAACUAAAUCUAUUUUAUUUUAUUUUAUAAACAAUAAUUAGUUAUCAUUAAUUUUUAUUUUCUAAUAAUUUUAUAAAUAAAAUUAUAUUGUGAAAUCUACAAUUUUUUUCUUAUUUUGUGUGUAUAAAUAAUUUAAUUUAAUUUAUAAUUUAAAAUAAAUUAAUAGAUGAACUAAUCUAAUUAAAUUUAUUUUUAAUUUAAUAUUUACUAAUCCUAUAAAUUUCAAUAGUAUUAUACAUUUUAUAUUGUGUAUAACUAGAAAUAAACAAUACUAAUGUAUAAUAAUAAUUUAAUAAUGAUUAAAAGUUCAAUUUUUAUUUAUUUAUCAAAUUUUAAUAUUAUUUUUUAUUAAACUGUAUAUUUAUAUAUAUAUUAAAUAUAUGAUAAGUGUUAGUAUUAGAUUGCAAUCUUAGAAAAAUCUGUAUAAAUAUUUUAUGUUAUUUUUUUUAGAGAAUAUUUGAAUAUUUAAUUAAAUUAAUUGAAUAAUGAAAUUGUUAGGCUAUGUAUUAUAAUGUAUAGUUAAUACAAAAAUCUAGAUUUGGUAAUAUCACAUAAUAGAUCAAAGUUUUUUUUUGGUGCAAAGUUAGAUCCAAAUUGUGCUUUGUUUAGUAUUGGAUUUUUUAAUUAUAUUAUACGCCAAUGAUCCAAAUUGCACCACAGAGACGAUAGCAUACUUUUAGAUUUAAAUAUUUUCAAAAAGAACAAUAUAUCGUUCAAUUAUUUGUAAUAGCUCGACGUGUAAAUGCGCCUCUUAAGAUAUGGUCAAUAGAAGAUAUUUGUAAAGAGAAAUUAGUACUUUUGGUCGUGUGCGUAUUAAUUAUUAUUUAUACAUGCAUAUUAGAUGAUGCCUUCUUUGCAUUUACAUACAUGUACAAUUUACAAUUUGUUUUCUUCUUGAGGGGGAGGGGGAUAAAUGUACAAUUGGUCAUGAAUAUUGAAAAUUCGAUUACAUACAAGGAUAUAUAGUUCAGGUUCAUUCUUCUUCUUUUUGUUAAAAUCAUGUUUUUUUUUUGUAAAAUUAAAAUCAUAUUUAUGAGGACAAGUAACCUCUAUAGUUCAGAAAUCCAAAUCCCAAAAAGUCUCAUACUAUAUCGAAAUAUAUCUAUCUACGUAGUUUGUUAGCUAGAGCGGUCAAAUAGACAAAUGUUCAAGAGAAAACAUUGAACAAAAUUCAUAUAAAAACACAUAUAUAAGCAUUAGUGCUAGUGACUGAAAAGAGAAAUUGAGUAAAGAAGUAUUUAAACAAUAUUGGGGGCAAAGGAAUCAUAACCUCUCAUGGCACUAAACCACGAGCUAAUUGAUGUUGUUCCUUUUGUGGGCCUUUUCCACGAUUACUCUCCACUAUUCGGUCCUUUUUAUUUAUUUAUUAAAAAUAAAUAGAAUCAAUAAUAUAUACUCCAUAGUCAUCAAUAAUGUGAAAUAUGCUAAAUCAUAAAUCACACCAUAUAAUGGUGAUAAGAUUUGCACUAUAUUUAUUGUAAUGGUAAAAGUUCUAAGAACAAUUAUUCCUUACUAGACAACUAGUGAUCUUAGAGAAAUCUUCUCUUGUGCAUCGGAAUGGUAGCUAGAUUAAUAACCAACUGAAGUAUUUAGAUAUAUAAUAUUUAAUUAUUUAUCAAUGAUAUAACAUUUGGUUUUCUUGGAAUUUUUUUCCUAAAUUUUUUUUUCUUGGAGAAUUCAGUAAUGUAGUUCAUAUAUAUCAAAAUAACAAAGUUAUAUUAAUAUAUCAGUGUAGUAAAUAACAUGUAUAUUCUUUUCAUAAGAAGAUAAUGACUUAUAAUAUUGUAGAAUAACUUCCACAAUCAGUAAUUAAAAAAAUAUAUAUAAUAAUAAUAUUAUUGCAAAAAUCUACUAGAUGUAAUUAAACUGUACUUACGAACAUAAUCAUUUUUUACUUACUACUUCACAAGAUUGUAAAUUUAUCCUUUUGAAGAAUAACUAUAAGUCUUUUCUUGUCACGAUUAGUUGUCUACCAAAUUAUCCUCUCUUUUUUUUGGUAAUCACCAAAUUAUCCUUUCAUAGGUGGAUAUCAAAUAUUCAACCUUAUAUUAUGCUUAGUUUGUAAAACUCCUCAAAUAAUCUUGGUGGGAGAUGGCGAUGUAAUGAUAAAAAUUAAAAAGGAUGGAGUGUGUGACUUGGAACAUUAUAUAAAGGCUACAUUUAGGGCAUAUAAUAUGAUACUAAACUAAUAGAAAGCAUAAAAUGUACAAAUAAGUGAGCAGCAUAAUGGUUACACCAUAAAGUUUGUUAUUGUAAUUUGUAAAAGUCACAUCUCUCUGUUCGUUCCCCCACGCCUCUGCCUCGACAGGGAACCCUGGAUCAAACAAUUACAAAUCUCACAAAAGAAAAUAAAAACACAUUUCAUAUGCGAUGCAUAUGAUGAUUAUGUUGGUCCCAUUUAUUUUGACUAUACAUCUCUCCAUAUGAAAUAGAGUGCUCUAGCCUUUAGUUUGCAACCAUUCAAAAUUACAAAACUUAACUGAUUAUAGACUAUAGUUUCUGUUUUAAUAGUGUGUUACCUUAUCAAUAACCAAGUUUUGAGCUUCAAUAGUUCUUUUUUUUUUUUUUUGAUUAACCUGGGGUAUCCCAGGCCCAUGGAGAGGCCCAGACUAAUCCCCAAGGAGAGGUGCAGCCCACGGAUAGACCCUCUUUCCGGGUAUUCAAUAGUUCUUCCCAAAUCGCAAAGUGUUUUACCCAAUAUCCAGAUAGACAUUGUAUUGAAUAUAUUAUCUUCUCUAUUAAAAGAGAAGUACCAUUUUUAUCUACAACAAAAUAGUCAUACUAUAAGUCUAGGUCCAUAUAUUCAAAUAAUGUUUUUAUUGUUUACAUUAGUUUCUAUAAUGUAUAACAUUUCUAAAUAAUAAUAAGGAUAUUAAUAACCAAUCCAUUUUAACUAUAAAUUUAAAUUUUAGUUUUAGAAAUACAAAUCUGUUGAGAAAAAAUCUACCAAAAUCUUUU